GGCUCAGGACGGACAGGUGUGGCCCCGCGGCUGCUCCCCGCACGGGUCUCGUUGGCGCCUGGGACGCGGGCGUUGCUCCCCGCUCGGGCCAGAGGACAAAAGUCUGGAAACGCUUGGCCCCCAGAUCAAAUACCCAGUCAGUGAGGGCGGCGUCCUUAGGAGUCGUGGCGGACAAGUGGAGGGGGGCUGCAAAUGUGAAGAGUCACCCCACAGCCGUGGGAUCUUAAAUGAUGGAGUCUGCACUCUCGCACAUCAUCAUGCCGGAAGUGUUGGGUCGGCCUCUUUAGGUGUUAAGCAGGGUGGCUGCCCGUGGUUUAAUGAGCAAAUAACAAUAUUUCGCAUCCCCUAGUCCCGGAUUGAU
rnacentral:lncRNA from 1 species